GACGAACGCUGGCGGCGUGCUUAACACAUGCAAGUCGAACGGAAAGGCCCCUUUGGGGGUACUCGAGUGGCGAACGGGUGAGUAACACGUGAGUAACCUGCCCUCGACUUCGGGAUAACUUCAGGAAACUGGGGCUAAUACCGGAUAGGAAUCCUUGCUGCAUGGUGGGGGUUGGAAAGCUUCGGCGGUUUUGGAUGGACUCGCGGCUUAUCAGCUUGUUGGUGGGGUAGUGGCUUACCAAGGCUUUGACGGGUAGCCGGCCUGAGAGGGCGACCGGCCACAUUGGGACUGAGAUACGGCCCAGACUCCUACGGGAGGCAGCAGUGGGGAAUAUUGCACAAUGGGCGGAAGCCUGAUGCAGCAACGCCGCGUGCGGGAUGACGGCCUUCGGGUUGUAAACCGCUUUCAGCAGGGGCGAAGCUUUUGUGACGGUACCUGCAGAAGAAGCACCGACUAACUACGUG
rnacentral:rRNA from 1 species